rnacentral:rRNA from 1 species
CAGGUUGAAGGUGCGGUAAAACGCACUGGAGGACCGAACCAGGGCACGUUGAAAAGUGCUUGGAUGACUUGUGGGUAGCGGAGAAAUUCCAAACGAACUUGGAGAUAGCUGGUUCUCUCCGAAAUAGCUUUAGGGCUAGCGUCGACAUCAAGAUUCUUGGAGGUAGAGCACUGUUUGGGUGAGGGGUCCAUCCCGGAUUACCAAUCUCAGAUAAACUCCGAAUGCCAAUGAAUUAUGGUCGGCAGUCAGACUGCGAGUGCUAAGAUCCGUAGUCGAAAGGGAAACAGCCCAGACCACCAGCUAAGGUCCCAAAAUAAUUGUUAAGUGGAAAAGGAUGUGGGGUUGCACAGACAACUAGGAUGUUAGCUUAGAAGCAGCUAUUCAUUCAAAGAGUGCGUAAUAGCUCACUAGUCGAGUGACCCUGCGCCGAAAAUGUACCGGGGCUAAAACAAUUUACCGAAGCUGUGGAUACCUUUAUAGGUAUGGUAGGAGAGCGUUCUAUGUGUGAUGAAGGUAUACCGUGAGGAGUGCUGGAACGCAUAGAAGUGAGAAUGCCGGUAUGAGUAGCGAAAGACAGGUGAGAAUCCUGUCCACCGUAAGACUAAGGUUUCCAGGGGAAGGCUCGUCCGCCCUGGGUUAGUCGGGACCUAAGGAGAGACCGAAAGGUGUAUCCGAUGGACAACAGGUUGAUAUUCCUGUACUAGAGUAUGUAGUGAUGGAGGGACGCAGUAGGCUAACUAAAGCAGACGAUUGGAAGUGUCUGUCUAAGCAGUGAGGUGUGAAUUGAGUUAAAUGCUUAAUUCUAUAACAUUGAGCUGUGAUGGGGAGCGAAGUUUAGUAGCGAAGUUAGUGACGUCACACUGCCAAGAAAAGCUUCUAGCGUUUAAACAUACUCUACCCGUACCGCAAACCGACACAGGUAGUCGAGGCGAGUAGCCUCAGGUGAGCGAGAGAACUCUCGUUAAGGAACUCGGCAAAAUGACCCCGUAACUUCGGGAGAAGGGGUGCUGGCUUUCAGUCAGCCGCAGUGAAUAGGCCCAAGCAACUGUUUAUCAAAAACACAGCUCUCUGCUAAAUCGUAAGAUGAUGUAUAGGGGGUGACGCCUGCCCGGUGCUGGAAGGUUAAGAGGAGUGCUUAGCGCAAGCGAAGGUAUGAAUUGAAGCCCCAGUAAACGGCGGCCGUAACUAUAACGGUCCUAAGGUAGCGAAAUUCCUUGUCGGGUAAGUUCCGACCCGCACGAAAGGCGUAAUGAUUUGGGCACUGUCUCAACGAGAGACUCGGUGAAAUUUUAGUACCUGUGAAGAUGCAGGUUACCCGCGACAGGACGGAAAGACCCCAUGGAGCUUUACUGCAGUUUGAUAUUGAGUGUCUGUACCACAUGUACAGGAUAGGUAGGAGUCUAUGAGAUCGGGACGCCAGUUUCGAAGGAGACGUUGUUGGGAUACUACCCUUGUGUUAUGGCCACUCUAACCCGGAUAGGUGAUCCCUAUCGGAGACAGUGUCUGACGGGCAGUUUGACUGGGGCGGUCGCCUCCUAAAAGGUAACGGAGGCGCCCAAAGGUUCCCUCAGAAUGGUUGGAAAUCAUUCGCAGAGUGUAAAGGUAUAAGGGAGCUUGACUGCGAGAGCUACAACUCGAGCAGGGACGAAAGUCGGGCUUAGUGAUCCGGUGGUUCCG